rnacentral:rRNA from 1 species
AACGAACGCUGGCGGCAUGCCUAACACAUGCAAGUCGAACGAGACCUUCGGGUCUAGUGGCGCACGGGUGCGUAACGCGUGGGAACCUGCCCUUAGGUUCGGAAUAACUCCCCGAAAGGGGUGCUAAUACCGGAUAAUGUCUUCGGACCAAAGAUUUAUCGCCUUUGGAUGGGCCCGCGUUGGAUUAGCUAGUUGGUAGGGUAAAAGCCUACCAAGGCGACGAUCCAUAGCUGGUCUGAGAGGAUGAUCAGCCACACUGAGACUGAGACACGGCCCAGACUCCUACGGGAGGCAGCAGUGGGGAAUAUUGGACAAUGGGCGAAAGCCUGAACCAGCAAUGCCGCGUGAGUGAUGAAGGCCUUAGGGUUGUAAAGCUCUUUUACCCGGGAUGAUAAUGACAGUACCGGGAGAAUAAGCUCCGGCUAACUCCGUG